ACCGUUUCAAAUUCAACACAAAAUCAAGCUAAAAAGAACCUAAAGUCAAACACUCAGUUACUUUAACAAAAUCAAAAGAAAGAAAAAAACCAAAACCUAUCCUUAUUCAUUCGGCUAAACCAGAGGCAUCACUCAACCACCCCUUCGCCUCCAUAUCAUCAAAUCAAAUCCCCUAAUUCUCAUCAAAGCUUUGAUUUCAAUGAAGCAAACAAGGAUUCAAAGGCUCCUUCAACAACAGAUAAGUCUCCCUUUCCCCUUAUAGAUUUAUUUUUUCAUGCAAUAGAUAAAGAAUGAUGAAAUAGAAACGAAAAUCAAGGAAGAACACGAUCUAAAAUCACCGUAAAACUAAUUUCAAAUUGAUUUUUUUCAGUAUCCGUGUGUAUUUCUGUGGGGAAAAAAUGAUCCCCAUUUACAUCAUUUUUCUAGCUUUUAUAGCCGAUUUACAUCAUAAAUAAAAUAAAAAUUGUAUUUUCUUGCUGUCAUUUACUGGCCUAUUUUUCUGUUAUUAUUUCCGUUGCUCUUCUCGUACGUUCCAUUGGAGAUGGCCAUUCAAAAGGAGCAUUCAUGAGUGUGGGCAUGGGAAGCCACUCGUGGAAGUGGCUGGCUUGUGGCAUUAGCAGAUUCCAGAAACCUCUAGGGUUUCUGGUAUUUCCGAACUCUUGGGCCCCUUUGGGCCAUUUGUAAAUUGGCUUUGGACUAGUGUUUCAUUUCUGUUUUGGGAUAUAUUUUGCUAUUGGGCUUGAAGGGAUUUAUUGCUGGGCUAAUAAAUGUAAAUGAACAUUGGACCUUAUUUUAUUUUUAUUUUGUUUAUUUUUUUUAAUUUCUGGUUUUUGGAUUUUAACAAACCCGGGCGAAAUGUGCCUAUUACAAUAGUCAUUAAAUUAUUCAUAUCCAGAGCUACAGAUCUCCAAACUAAGAUUCGUUAAUUUCCCAUAAAUUAUACUCAUACCUAUUCUUGUAAAAAAAAAUUUAGAAUUUUUGGUCUAGCCAAUAAGUACAGUUUAUUAUUCAAAGUCUCCCCUGUCUCGUUGUUUGAUAGCUUCGACCUUUCUUCACUAAAAUUUAUUUAUCUCAUAGUACGAGACUCGAAUAAUGUUCUCGUCCCUUUCUCCUGAAAGUAGGAUCAUUAAGGAUUUCAUUCAUAUAAAUUUUAACUCAUAAUUAUUUUUUUACAAUUUCUAGUGACUUUCCAAAGUUAAGACAGGGGAAUUUGGAAUCACUCUGUCUCUAUCUCACAAGAAUUCAAAUAUCUCAUGAUACAGGAUUCUUUUGCUUUCACCAUUUCCUUUAUAUGGAGCUAGACUCAUUAAUCUUUAAUUUCACAUUUUAUUGAGCUUCUAACUCAAUUUCUACUAUUUUUAGUGGAUUUUCAAAGUUGGACCAAUGCUGCUGUCCAAAUCUGUUUUGGUACAAUAUAAUGAUCACUAUCAUAAGAUCAUUUCCAACUAUCAUGAACUUACCCUUUCAUGGAUCCCUUACUCAUUUUUUUCACAAUGGAGCUCAAUAUAAAAGUUAUUAUUUCUCAUGGGAACAUUUAGUCAUACAUUCCAAGUAUAGGAUAAUUCCCUAUCACAUGCACUCAAUCAUCAAAUUAGUCUCAUAACCAUGCACCAUGUAAAUUUGUCUUAGAAGAGCUCCUCAUUUAUAAUUUCAUUGACAUACAUCAUAUUAAUCCCGUUGAGUUUCUCAAAAAUUCUAAUGGAUUAUCCAUUUACCGUCAAUUCAUAAUAAUGAUUAUUUCAUGUAUGCACUCCCGUGAACCUCACAUCUUAUGGCGGAAUUACCAGUCUAGGCUAAAUCCCCUAUAUCGUAAACUCAUAAGGUGAUGUCAGGAUUACCAGUCCAGGCUAAAUCCCUUAUUGUGACAAACACCCUUACUGAGUUCGGAUCUGAAUUGUCAGUCCAGGCUAAAUUCAGACCCUAAUCGAAUUACCCGUUUGAGCUAAAUCCAAUGCACAUAUAUUCUUCAGGAGGCUCGAUCAUCCAAAGGAACACCUGUCCAGGCUAGAUCCUUUUCAUAGUUAAGAUCAACGGAUUACCCGUCCGGGCUAAAUCCUUUCUGCAACACAUGUAGGAUAUCAAUUCGCUUGUAAAUAAUGAUUUAUCCAUCGAAUUCCCUUUUUAACCUCAACCGAGACAUUUUUCGACAAAUCAUUUUCAAAGAUGCAUUUCAUGUAAUUUCAUGCCAUCAAUAAAUGCACUUAUCAUCCACUCAUAAAUCAUACAAUUAAGCAUGUUAGGAGUUUACUUUAAGCUAUCCGAACUUACUUGUCGAAAUCUCAUCAAGUACAACUGUGUAGCAAUUCAUACAACCCAGGUAAUAGUAAUUUAACACUCAAUUCAUGUAACAAUAAUUUUUCAUUCAAUUUCACAUGACACAAGAAGCAUUACAUUUUUCCAUAUCAUACACACCAUCCAUCAACUUCUCUUAAACAUAUUAAAUCAUACAAUUUAUGCCAUAUCAAUAGAUAAUUACAAUUCAUGCAUGGUAUUGCAUUAUUAUUAACACACGAACUUACCUCGAUCUACAAACGGUAAUUUACCAUUUUAGUCCAUAACCUUAAAUUUUCCCGAUUUAAGCUCGAAUCUCGAUUUUGUUGAUCUAUAAUACCAUAUUUAGCCUAAUAAUUAGUCACAUUAUUCAUAAAGGUCCAAAAAUCAUAUUUUUACAAAUUUUCAUUUGACCCCUAAACUUUUGCAUAUUUGCACUUUUUCCCCAAGGCUCGGAAAUUAAAAUUCAUCCUAUUUUCUUAUGUUCUAUGACAUGCUGGCUAUUUUUUCCCUUCUAUGGAAACAUCAAAUUCUCACUCUAACAUGUACUUAUGAACAUUAGGUAUUUUUACCGAUUAUGUCAUUUUAUUCGUUUUCACGUAAAAUCGCUUAGCAAAAGUUGUUUAACACAAUUUCAAGCUUCAUAUUCUAACAUUAAACAUAAAAAUACAUGCAUAUCAUUCAUGGGUAAAUUUUUAAACACAAACCCUAGCUCAAAUAAAUGGUAGAAAUAGCUAGAACAUGUUACCGGGACUUCAAAAAUGUAAAGAACAUUAAAAACGGGGCUUGAGAUCACUUACAAAUGAGCUUGGAAAGCUUGAAAACCAUAUCCAUGGUGUUUUUCAUGAUACAUUCGGCCAUGAGGAAGAAGAUGAGCAAAUUUGGCUUAUUUUGGCAUUUUAAUUCAUUUAAUUACCAAUUUACUAAAAUGCCCUUAAUGAAAAACUUUUAAAAACCUAUCAUACCAUGUCCAUUUUUGUCCACAAACUUCAAAAUGGUCUAAUUACCAUUUUAGGACCUUAAUUUAAAAAAUCAUAACAAUUAGACACUUCUAAUAUGUAGAACUCAACUUUUGCACUUUUUACAAUUUAGUCCUUUUGACCAAAUUGAGUGCCCAAACGUCGAAAUUUUUGAACGAAAUUUCACGAAAUCAUUUUGUGAAAUCGUAGACCAUAAAAAUAUAAUAAAGAUAAAAUUUUCCUCAUCAGAUUUGUGGUCCCGAAACCACUGUUCCGACUAGGCCCAAAAUCAAGAUGUUACAGAUUUCUAGAAAAUGACUUACUUUUUUGGAAAAACUAAUAUUUUCUGCUGUUUGGUUGAAUCUGUGUAAAAUAUUUUCUGUUGUUUGGUAGAUUCCCUGAAAAUAUUUCAAAAAAGAUAUUUUAAACGAAACAAACAUACAUUUGAAUUUUUCUUGUCUUUUAAUUGGUUAGCUAAAUUCACUUUCUUGAAAAUAUUUCAAAAAAGCUAUUUUAAAUGAAACAAACAUAUAUUUAAAUUUUUUUUUCAUUUAAUUGUUUAGCUUUAAUAGCCCGAUUUAGACCCUAGUCAAAAUAGUGGUUUCGAAACCACAAAUCUAAGUUAGAAAAAUAUUUUAUAUUAUUUUCCGUGCCUAUUAUAUGUGAAUUGAUAUCUGUGAAAAUUUCGUAUGAAAAUCUAAUCGUUUGUGUGCUUAAUUUGAUAAAAGGACCUAAUCACGUAAAAUGUAAAAGUGGUCUUCUAUUUGUUAAAGUGCUUAAUUGUUAUGUCUUUUUAAAUGAGAGGUCCUUAUGUUGCAAUUAGACCAUUGAAAGGGUUAAUGGACAUUAAUGACCAUUUAUUAUGUGUUAUUUAUAUUAUUUAAUAAAGGUUAAAUUUGUAAAUAUGUAAAUAAACUUAUUAUAAUAAAACAAAACAUGUUAAUUGAUGAUUUAUUCACCCAUGUUUCCUGAAAUUAUCAAAGAAUAAGAAGAAAUAAAAGCUUUUAGGGUUCGGAUAAGAAAUUUGAUGAUUAAGGUACGUGUUUUGAUCCAUUUUUGAUGAUUUCUACGUUUUUGUGAUUGUUGCUUAGUAAUCUAUCAAGCCCAUGUCUCAAUUUCUAAAAUUGUUGAUGAUUUUGAGUUGAGCCAUUAAUGAAACUAUGAGUUUUAUGAAGUUUGAUAAUAGUUUAUGAAAGCUUGAUGUGGGGUUAACAUGUUUUGUCUUUGAAUUUUUUAUAAAUUUGAGUAAUUUGGGCUAAAUUGAGAAAAUGAGAAAUUAAGGGACUAAAUUUUGAAAUAAAUGAAAUGUGUGGGCUUGUAUGAGCUAAGAGAAUAUUCGACCUAACAUAUGUAAAAGGGAAUUUUGUGUAUUUUUUAAUUUUAUGAAUUAGGGACUAAAGUGUUAAAAUGUAAAAAUGUGAGGGCUAAUUUGUAAAAUACCUUAAUUAUGUGUAUAUGGAUUGAAUUGAAUGAUUUGUUGAAUAAAAGAGUUAAAUUUUAAUUUACAUAGAUCAAAACAAAAGAAAACGGAAUUAGAUCGGGGGAAAUCGAAAGUCGUCGAGUAGUCGACUCUGUUCGUUCGAAUCCGUACGAGGUAAGUCAAUAUACAAAUAAUCGUGUUUGAGUUGAUUUAUUUAUAUUCAUAUGACAUUGAAUUGUGAUGAAUGGCUGUAUGAGAGCCCAUUAUGUGAUGUCUGAAAAAGUUUCGAUAAUGUAACGGCGUCCGAAAAGCCCCGUACGAACCAUAGGAAUAGUUAGGAUACAUAUGUCAUGAGAUAGGAUCUGAUAUGUGUUUUCGUGUAAGACCACGUCUGGGAUGUUGGCAUCGACUUAUGUUUUAUGUGUAAGACCAUGUCUGGGAUAUUGGCAUCAUAUUUGAUUUCGUGUAAGACCCUGUCUAGGACAGUGACAUUGAUAUUUGAUUACAUUUAAGACCACGUCUGGGAUGUUGGCAUUGUACGAGCUUUUCGAGCUAUCUGAGUAUCCUUAUUGAUUCCAAACGGUUCAACGGGAAUUCCAAGAAAUGAGUAAUUAUGUGGUUGUGUAUCGACUCAGGUACGUUUGAAAUGUAUAUCAUGAUUAAGAAUAAAAGGUAAGUAUUUGAACAUAUGUGGACAUAUGAAAUAUGUAUGAGCUAUAUGAGAUUUAUAGAUAUGUGGUUAUGCUUUGCCAUGAUCUAUAUGAUUGAAUUGAAUUUAAAUUAUGUUAUGUGAUAAGUUUAUUUGUAUAUGGCUUACUAAGCUUUUGAAAGCUUACUUUGUGUGUUUUCAAUCAUUUUAUAGAUACCGUAGCUAUCGGGAGCUCGGGGAUCGUCGAGGAUCAUCACCACACUAUCGAACUCUAUUUUGGUACCUUUUGAAAAUGUAUAUAUUGAAGUAUGGCAUGUAUCGGCUAGAAGUUUGUGAAUAUGUUUGGUAAUGUGUAUAUCUAGCCAGGUGAUAUGGCUUGGUUUUGGUUAUAAUUAUGAAUGUCUUUCGAGCAUAAACUAUGUGAUGCAAUAAUGUUCAUAUGAUGCGUUCAUGAAUGACCUAGUGAUAAAUGAUCAAUUUGGUAAGUUGGUAAUGUGAUUUAGAUGUGG
rnacentral:lncRNA from 1 species